rnacentral:misc_RNA from 1 species
GCCGUUUCGAACAAUCAAUUUGACAAAAAAAAUCUAGCUAACUGAUCGUAUUCGUCCAUCAACGGCGACGGCGACGGCGACGAUGACCGAUAGUUGCCGCCGAGCUCUAGUGGAAGCUAUACAUUCGUCUCCUACUCAAGCUGUUAUUUAUCUUUCCGGCGGAGCCUCUCAGGCGCUGGGGUGGUUGAUGUCAGUUCCGGGAGCAUCGAACACUGUGCUUGAAUCUGUAGUUACAUAUUCCAGAAUGUCUAUGAUUCAAUUACUU